rnacentral:rRNA from 1 species
UACAGGGGUCUCGAGCGUUAAUCGGAAUCACUGGGCUUAAAGGGUGCGUAGGCGGGCCCGUAAGCAUUCCGUGAAAGCCCCCGGCUCAACCGGGGAACAGCGGGGUGUACUGCGGGCCUCGAGGCAGACAGGGGCGGUCGGAACUGUAGGUGGAGCGGUGAAAUGCGUAGAUAUCUGGAGGAACACCGGUGGCGAAGGCGGUCUGCUGGGCCGUUGCUGACGCUGAGGCGCGACAGCGUGGGGAGCAAACAGG